rnacentral:rRNA from 1 species
CCCUUAGAUGUCCGGGGCCGCACGCGCGCUACACUGAAGGAAUCAGCGUGGCUUUCUCCCUGACCCGAAAGGGUUGGGAAACCCGUUGAAUCUCCUUCGUGAUAGGGAUUGGGGCUUGAAAUUGUUCCCCAUGAACGAGGAAUUCCCAGUAAGCGCGUGUCAUAAGCUCGCGUUGAUUACGUCCCUGCCCUUUGUACACACCGCCCGUCGCUACUACCGAUUGAACGGUUUAGUGAGGGCCUCGGAUUGGUCUCGGCCCGCUCUUUACCGGGCGGCGCCGUUGGUCGAGAAGACGCUCGAACUUGAUCGUUUAGAGGAAGUAAAAGCCGUAACA